GAGCACGCGGCGGCGGCGGUCUCUGAGCGCCUCUGCUCUCUCUCCCGGUUUCAGAUCCGCAUUUGCUACCAGCGGCGGCGGCGGCGGAGCCAGGCCGGUCCUCAGCGCCCAGCACCGUCGCUCCCGGCAGCCCGGAGCGCGCACCGCAGGCCGGCGGCCGAGCUCGCGCAUCCCAGCCGUCGCUCCUCCACCUGCUCUGCCGACAAGGGAAGAUGAGCGAGUCGAGCUCGAAGUCCAGCCAGCCCUUGGCCUCCAAGCAGGAAAAGGACGGCACUGAGAAGCGAGGGCGGGGCAGGCCGCGCAAGCAGCCUCCGGUGAGUCCCGGGACGGCGCUGGUAGGGAGUCAGAAGGAGCCCAGCGAAGUGCCAACACCUAAGAGACCUCGGGGCCGACCGAAGGGGAGCAAAAACAAGGGUGCUGCCAAGACCCGGAAAACCACCACAACUCCAGGGAGGAAACCAAGGGGCAGACCCAAAAAACUGGAGAAGGAGGAAGAGGAGGGCAUCUCGCAGGAGUCCUCAGAGGAGGAGCAGUGACCGUGCCGCGCCGCCAGCUCCCUCACCGAGGAGCAGUUUCCUUCUGGGACUGGACAGCUCCGCUCCGCUCCCACUGCCCCCACCCCUUCCCCCAGGCUCUCGUGUCACCGCCACCCACCUGCGCCCUCACCACCACACUACACAGCACACCAGCCGCCGCCGCAGGGCCCCCGGGGGCCCGAGUCGGGAGCAGUUUCCUUUGAUUUCAGGUCCCAGCGACCCCUGACCCACGCACCUGACUUCCCACUAAGCUGCUCCCGCGCUGCUGCAUCCCCACUCCCUCAGCGUGGGGACCUUGCUGGCUGGGCUCUUGGUUUCGGGGUCCCUUCUAAUCCCCGACUCUUCCCUCUGGCUUCCCAUUAAGGGGCCUGGGAGGGCUCCCCUGGCCUUAAAAAGGGGCCCAAGCCCCAUCUCAUUCUGACAUGCCCCACUCCCACUGUACUAGCGGCAGCAGGUGUGGCCACUGGAGAGGGGUGAUUGGCCCCAGAUGCCCCCAGCCAAGCUGUGUCUCACCAGGGGUGGCUCACACGCCCUUUGCUUCCUUCCCACCUUGCCUAGUCCCUGCAGUAGGUUGGGCCGCCCCCUUGGGGGCACAGGAAGGCAGGCAGGAGGGGUUUAAGCCCCCUCCCCCCUCUAAGCAGGCUCCAAUCUACCUUGCCCUCACCCUGGAAUCCAGUGCAGUGAUGAAAAUGCAAAGUCACCUUUAUCCAGGUGAGGCCCAGGAGGCCUGGGCUCCCGGUGGCAGCCACUUAAGGCGGGCUAGAGCCACUCCCUGUCCCUGUCUGCUUCCACUCUAGACCUCGGUUUCCCCUUCCUUCCCUCACUCGGGGCACUAAUAACAAGGAGCUAGCCUUGCCCACUCCCAUCCUUCUGCUCCUCCCCAACCCCCAAGGUUCUGGUUCCAUCUUUCCUCUGUUCACAAACUACCUCUGGACAGUUGUGUUGUUUUUUGUUCAAUGUUUCAUUCUUAGACAUCCGUCAUUGCUGCUGCUACCAGCGCCAAAUGUUCAUCCUCAUUGCCUCCUGUUCUGCCCACAUUCCCCUCCUCCAAGAUGCUCUUAGGGGAAGGGGCCUGGGGCAAAGCAGGCUGGGUUACCGACUACCCCAGUCCCAGGGAAGGUGGGGCCCUGCCCCUAGGAUGCUGCAGCAGAGUAAGGAGGGGGGCCUGUGUUGACCGUCGGGUGUAGGGGCCACCUUUUCCCCCUGUUCUGUCAGGGAGGAGGUAGCCAUUAUUUGUCCCAGCCUGGGGCCCCCCCUCUGGUUUCCUAUUUGCAGUUACUUGAAUAAAAAAAUAUCCUUUUCU
rnacentral:lncRNA from 1 species